rnacentral:misc_RNA from 1 species
GAUGAAGAACGUAGCGAAAUGCGAUAAGUAAUGUGAAUUGCAGAAUUCAGUGAAUCAUCGAAUCUUUGCACGCACAUUGCGCCCGUCAGUAUUCUGGCGGGCAUGCCUGUUCGAGCGUCAUUACGCCCCUCAAGUCCCCUGUGGACUUGGUGUUGGGGAUCGGCGAGGCUGGUUUUCCAGCACAGCCGUCCCUUAAAUUAAUUGGCGGUCUCGCCGUGGCCCUCCUCUGCGCAGUAGUAAAACACUCGCAACAGGAGCCCGGCGCGGUCCACUGCCGUAAAACCCCCCAACUUUUUAUAGUUGACCUCGAAUCAGGUAGGACUACCCGCUGAACUUAAGCAUAUCAAUAAGCGGAGGA